rnacentral:rRNA from 1 species
CUAAGAAUAUUCCGCAAUGGACGAAAGUCUGACGGAGCGACGCCGCGUGGAUGAAGAAGGCCGAAAGGUUGUAAAAUCCUUUUGCUGAGGAAGAAUAAGUGUGGGAGGGAAUGCCCGCACGAUGACAUGAAUCGGCGAAUAAGCCCCGGCCAACUACGUGCCAGCAGCAGCGGUAACACGUAGGGGGAGAGCGUUGUGCGGAAUUACUGGGCGUAAAGGGCAUGUAGGCGGUUAUGUAAGCCUGGCGUGAAAGUCCACAGCUUAACUGCGGGAUUGCGUUGGGAACUAGAUGACUAGAGU